AUGUUUGAGAUCCUGAAAUCCUGUUACCAGAUCACCAGCAUCCCUCAGAUCCCCAGGGUGGAGUGGCUGCUGGUACUCUGCUGUCGGGUGGAGAACUUCUACCCCCGGGACAUCAACCUGGAGUGGACCAGAAGCGACGGGGAGCAGGUCCGCACCGUCACUCACUUCGGACCUUUCUCCAACCACAGCCGUCUCUACAGCGUGUGGAGUGAGAUUCAUCUACGCAUGGCCAGAGAGGACGAGAGGGCCGUCUACACCUGCCGGGUUUACCACUCCAGCUUCCCUGCUCCGGGAUACAAAGAUGUCCUGUACCACAUCAACACUCAAGGAACUCCUCCUGAUGUGAUGUUCAUUGACUGCGAGCCGCUGUGUCCUCUGUUGGAUGAAGAGUGUACUCUGCACCUGUGCAUCAGAGACUUCUGUCCCGAGGACGUGUCAGUGACUUGGACUAAAGAUGGAGAGAUGGUUCCCUCCGGCGUCUUCAACACUCCCCCGAGCCUGAACAUCAACGGCCUCUACUCCAUGUUCACUUUUCUCAAACACACCCCCAAGGAGGACGACUGGGGCUCUGAGUUCAGGUGCCGGGUGGUCCACAGCGCCCAGAUGGCGCCUGAGGAGAGGCUCUUCACACUGCCUGCAGCCCACAGCUGGCGUCUGAGGGACGGCUGCUGAUGUCCUCACUGUGGAAACGCUUGUAUUUCCAUCUACGGUGGUUCAAUUUGUAGAUCAGAAGAGAUAAGCCAGAGUUUUGGACAUUAAAAAAGAUAUCUGGCCUAGUCAUUACUGUCCAUGAUGCAGUGGCUCUUUGUCAGUAGGGAACCUACAUUUAAAUGACCUCUUUCCAGAGCACCAAGUAUCAGAAACUGUAGUACCUUUAUGUUAUUUAAACACAGUCCAGGUAGAACAUCAUAGAAAUACAACAUAAACGGGGUUUCACAUUUUCAUGAUAAAAAUAGGGGUAGUUAUUUUUCUUUUUGUGUACAUUAUAAAUUAGACCAAACCUCAUAAAACUUCUCUUGAUAAUUAUGGGUCCUUGUGAUUUACAGAUUCCAAAUCCCUGUGUGACUCUUUCAGUAACGGAGAACGAUCCUUGAAGCGCCGGUAAAGCCUGCCGAGGCCAAGGUCCAGUUCAUUCCCACAUUAAAUGAAGAAAAAAUCCUUAUAGUAUUUUAUAUUGUAUUUUAUUUAGGGAAACAUUUUUGGGUAAUAAUUUGAAGUCCCCUCUAAAUAACAAUUUAUUUAUAAUGGGGAUUUCCUUGUAAUAUCAAAAUCCUAGAAAUAAUAAGGAAAUUCAAAUUACAAAAUUUACAGACACACAAAAUAACGUGUUACCACUGCUUGUGCAGUUUUGAGGUGUUUGUGUCAAAUUUUCUUAAAUACAAUUGUUGUAGGAAAAUGUCAAAUACUAUAAUAUCUCUGCUCUAUGUAUAUACGUUCUCAUGCCCACAUUUUAUUCAACAUGUUGUGACUUUUUCAAGCACACAAUGUGAGAAUGGACAAAUGAAUGUCCUCAAGGUUACUCCACACAAAUGGGAAGCUCCCAGAUUCAGUGAGAACAUUUUCUAUUUGAAAAGAAACGGUAGAAAAUGCUUUUCUGCUAACUCAUUUAUAUACUGUAUGCACUGUUGUUUCCCUCUGACCAAACACAGCAUUUUAUUGUACACAAUGAACCUGCAGAUAAACCUGCCCGAUAGUUCAUCAGUGGUGGAAUGUAACUACAUUUACUCAAGAAGCUUCAGUAAAUACAAAUACAGAUACUUGCACAUGUUUCUGUUUCAUACUACUGUAUACUUCUACUCUACUCUACAUGUAUUGGAUAGCUUUAGACCCUAUAGCAUGGACUGUAUUAAAUCGGGAUGUAGUAAAACCAAAUAUCAUUAAUUCAUUUUCAGAACACAGACUCAGAUGCUGCAAGAAUGAGCCCUAAACGUGAAAAUGAGUCUCGAAGAAAAUGGAUUUCUGAACGUGUUUCUGGUUCGAUGCCUGAAAUAAUGAGGUCUGUGGUCGACAAGCUGUAGAGAUGUUAACAUUAAACGUCUUAAAAAGGCGGUUCCUAUUCACGUGACCGUUUGUUUAGCCUAACGUAAACUUUAUACUUCUGCCUAUUGCAUUCAAGCUUCAAAAAUCAUAAAGUUAUGUUCAUUUGUGAAAAUGAUCUUGCUG